rnacentral:rRNA from 1 species
UAGGGAAUUUUCGUCAAUGGGCGCAAGCCUGAACGAGCAAUGCCGCGUGAACGAGGAAGGUCUUCGGAUCGUAAAGUUCUGUUGAAGGGGAAAAAGAGCGGAGAGAGGAAAUGGUCUCCGAUUGAUAUUACCCUUCGAGGAAGUCACGGCUAACUACGUGCCAGCAGCCGCGGUAAUACGUAGGUGGCGAGCGUUAUCCGGAAUGAUUGGGCGUAAAGGGUGUGUAGGCGGCCUGCUAAGUCUGGAGUGAAAGGUACCGGCUCAACCGGUAUAGGCUCUGGAAACUGGCGGGCUAGAGAGCAG